rnacentral:rRNA from 1 species
ACAUAAGACAUGCAAGUCGAACGGACUUAACCAUUAGUUUACUAUUGGAGCGGUUAGUGGCGGACUGGUGAGUAACACGUAAGCAACCUGCCUAUCAGAGGGGAACAACAGUUAGAAAUGACUGCUAAUACCGCAUAUGCCUUAAUUACCACAUGGUAAUAGAGGGAAAGGAGCAAUCCGCUGAUAGAUGGGCUUGCGUCUGAUUAGAUAGUUGGUAAGGUAACGGCUUACCAAGUCGACGAUCAGUAGCCGGACUGAGAGGUUGAACGGCCACAUUGGGACUGAGAUACGGCCCAGACUCCUACGGGAGGCAGCAGUCGGGAAUAUUGCGCAAUGGAGGAAACUCUGACGCAGUGACGCCGCGUGCAGGAAGAAGGCUUUCGGAUUGUAAACUGCUUUAGACAGGGAAGAAACAAGACAGUACCUGUAGAAUAAGCUCCGGCUAACUACGUGCCAGCAGCCGCGGUAAUACGUAGGGAGCAAGCGUUAUCCGGAUUUAUUGGGUGUAAAGGGUGCGUAGACGGGAAUGCAAGUUGGUUGUGAAAUCCCUCGGCUCAACCGAGGAAUUGCAACCAAAACUAUAUUUCUUGAGUGCUGGAGAGGAAAGUGGAAUUCCUAGUGUAGCGGUGAAAUGCGUAGAUAUUAGGAGGAACACCAGUGGCGAAGGCGACUUUCUGGACAGUAACUGACGUUGAGGCACGAAAGUGUGGGGAGCAAACAGGAUUAGAUACCCUGGUAGUCCACACCGUAAACGAUGGAUACUAGGUGUAGGGGAUGAAUAAUCUUCUGUGCCGUCGCAAACGCAGUAAGUAUCCCACCUGGGGAGUACGGCCGCAAGGUUGAAACUCAAAGGAAUUGACGGGGGCCCGCACAAGCAGUGGAGUAUGUGGUUUAAUUCGACGCAACGCGAAGAACCUUACCAGGGCUUGACAUAUACAUGAAAAUCUAAGAGAUUAGAUCCCUCUUCGGAGCAUGUAUACAGGUGGUGCAUGGUUGUCGUCAGCUCGUGUCGUGAGAUGUUGGGUUAAGUCCCGCAACGAGCGCAACCCCUGUUCUUAGUUGCCAGCAUGUAAAGAUGGGAACUCUAAGAAGACUGCCGGUGAUAAAUCGGAGGAAGGUGGGGACGACGUCAAAUCAUCAUGCCCUUUAUGUCCUGGGCUACACACGUACUACAAUGGCUGUAACAAAGGGAAGCGAACCCGCGAGGGGAAGCAAAACCCAUAAAAGCAGUCUCAGUUCGGAUUGAAGGCUGAAAUUCGCCUUCAUGAAGCCGGAAUUGCUAGUAAUGGCAGGUCAGCAUACUGCCGUGAAUACGUUCCCGGGCCUUGUACACACCGCCCGUCACACCAUGAGAGUUGGGGAUACCCGAAGCCUGUGAGCUAACUGUAAAGAGGCAGCAGUCGAAGGUAGAAUCAAUGAUUGGGGUGAAGU